GCGCUCUGCGUGCUCAGAGGGGGGAACCGUGCGCAGGUGGGGGGGGCGUCCGUCCGUCUGUCCGUCCGUCCAGGCGUCUGUCUGUCCGUCCUUCUGCCCAUCCAGGUGUCCGUCUGUCCGUCCGUCCGUCCAUCUGUCUGUCCAGGCGUCUGUCUGUCCGUCCUUCUGCCCAUCCAGGCGUCUGUCUGUCCGUCCAGGCGUCUGUCUUUCCAUCCGUCUGUCUGUCCAGGAGUCUGUCUGACUGUCUGUCUGUCCGUCCAGGCAUCUGUCCAUCCCUCUGCCCAUCCAGGCGUCUGUCGGUUCGUCCCUCUGCCCAUCCAGGCGUCCGUCCAUCCGUCCUUCUGCCCAUCCAGGUGCCUGUCUGUCCGUCCGUCCGUCUGUCCGUGCAGGUAUCUGUCUGUCUGCCCAUCCAGGUGCCCGUCUGUCCGUCCAUCCUUCUGCCCAUCCAGGAGUCUGUCCGUCCGUCCGUCCAGGCGUCUGUCUUUCCGUCCGUCUGUCCAUCCAGGCAUCUGUCUGUCUGUCCGUCCAGGUGUCUGCCCGUCCGUCCUUCUGCCCGUCCAGGCAUCUGUCUGUCCAUCCUUCUGCCCAUCCAGGUGUCUGUCUGUCUGCCCGUCCAGGCGUCUGUCUGUCCGUCCUUCUGCCCUUCUGGGUGUCUGUCUGUCCGUCCCUCCGUCCAUCCAUGUCUGCCCAUCCGGGUGCCCACCUGUCCGUCCGUCCGUCCGUUCACCCGUCUGUCUGUCCAUCCGUCCUUCUGUCCGUCCGGAUGUCUGUCUGCCCAUCCGCCCGCUGUCCGCCCAUCUGUCCACGUGUCCUCCUGCCCAUCCGUCUGUCUACCCAGAUGUCCACCCGUCUGUCCGUCCGUCUGUCCGUCCAGGUGCCUGUCUGCCUGUCUGUCUGCUUGUCCCUAUGUCUGUCUGUCUGCUUGUCCCUCUGUCUUUCUGCUUGUCCCUCUGUCUUUCUGCUUGUCCCUCUGUCUGUCUGUCUGCCUGUCCACCCAGCUGUCCCUCUGUCUGCCUGGUUGUCUCUCUGUCCUUUCUAUCUGUCCGUCCGUCCGCCUGCCCAGCCGUCCCUCUGCCAGGCUGUCAGUCCGUCUGUCCACCCGGUUGUCCAUCUGUCCGUCUUUCUGCUUAUCCCCACCCGUCUGCCCGGCUGUUCCUUUGUCUGUCUGUCCGGUUGUCCCUUUGUCCCGCUGUCCCUCCAUUUGGAUGUCCCUCCGUCCGUCCGUCUGUCCGUCCGUCUGUCCCUCCAUCCUCCAACCGCUCCGUCCAUCUGAGUGUUCCCCUGUCUGUCCGUCUGUCUGUCCGGCUAUCCCUCCCUCUGUCCAUCCAGUUGUCCCCCUGUCCAGCUGUCUGCUCCCCUGGAUGUCCAUCUGUCUGUCUGUCUGUCUGGUUGUCCCUUUGCCCAGCUGUCCGCCUGUCCGGGCGCCGCCUUGGCCAUCUGUCCAUCCAGGUGUCCGUCUGUCCUGCCAUCCUUCCAUCCAGGUGUCCAUCCACCUGUCCACCCACUUGCCCGUCUAUCUGUCUGUCCGGCUGUCUGUCUGUCCACUUUAGCAUCCAUCUGGCUGUCCCCGUUGUCCACCUUUCUGUCCGGGCGUCCAUCCUCCCGGCUGUCCGUCUGUCUGGGUGUCCGCGCGCGUGUCCGUCUCUCCAUCCAUCCAAUUGUUGUCCGGCUGUCUGUCCGGCCAUCUGUCUGUCCAGCUGUCCAUCCACCCAUGGGGGACUCCAUCUGUCUGUUUGUCCGUCCGUCCCCCUUCCAGGUGCCCAUUCAUCCGUCUGUCCGUCCCACACCCUUCCAACUGUCCAUUCAUCCACGCGUCCGUCCGUCCGUCCGUCUGUCCCUUAAGACCCACACUGUGUCCCUACGCCCGUGGGUGGGAGCGGGGCAGCAAUGUGAG
ensembl:lncRNA